rnacentral:rRNA from 1 species
CCUACGGGUGACAGCAGUGAGGAAUAUUGGUCAAUGGGCGCGAGCCUGAACCAGCCAAGUAGCGUGAAGGAUGAAUGCCCCACGGGUUGUAAACUUCUUUUAUAAAGGAAUAAAGUGAGCCACGUGUGCCUUUUUGUAUGUACUUUAUGAAUAAGGAUCGGCUAACUCCGUGCCAGCAGCCGCGGUAAUACGGAGGAUCCGAGCGUUAUCCGGAUUUAUUGGGUUUAAAGGGAGCGUAGAUGGGUUGGUAAGUCAGUUGUGAAAGUUUGCGGCUCAACCGCAACAGUGCAAUUGAUACUGGCGGACUUGAGUACGGGAGAGGUAGGCGGAAUUCGUGGUGUAGCGGUGAAAUGCAUAGAUAUCACGAAGAACUCCGAUUGCGAAGGCAGCUUACUAACCUGCCACUGACAUUGAGGCACGAAAGUGUGGGUAUCAAAUAGGAUUAGAUACCCCAGUAGUC